AUGGAUUUAAGCACUGAGCUCCAUCGGGACAUUGCGAAACCCGUUCCCGAACCUGAACCUCCUGCCCCGCUGAGACCGGCUUCUCCUGGUAAAGACUCCAACAGCAAGACUGUGGUACAGCAGCCUGUGUCUGACACUGUGUCUGACACAGACUCUGUGAGCCUGCAGUGUACGAUAGAGACUGGGAGCUGUGCAGGAGAACACAGUGUUUACUGGUUCAGACAUGGAUCAGGAGAAUCCCUUCCUGGAGUCAUUUACAGCCACGGAAACAGGAGUGAUGAGUGUGAGAAGAGCCCUGAGGCUGGAUCUCCUACACGGAGCUGCGUCUACAGCCUCCCCAAGGGGAACCUCAGCCUCUCCGAUGCUGGGACUUACUACUGCGCCGUGGCCAUGUGUGGGGAGAUGCUGUUUGGCAAUGGGACCAAGCUGGAUAUAGAUGGUAACACCCAGUGAGGGGAGAUGCUGUUUGGGAACGGCACACAGCUGGAUAUAGAUGGUAACACCCAGUGAGGGGAGAUGCUGUUUGGGAACGGCACACAGCUGGAUAUAGAUGGUAACACCCAGCGUGGGGAGAUGCUGUUUGGGAACGGAACACAGCUGGAUAUAGAUGGUAACACCCAGUGAGGGGAGAUGCUGUUUGAGAACGGCACAUAGCUGGA